rnacentral:rRNA from 1 species
AUAUUGCGCAAUGGAGGGAACUCUGACGCAGCGACGCCGCGUGAGCGAUGAAGGCCUUCGGAUCGUAAAGCCAUUUCCUUGGGGAAGAAGGUCUUCGGACUUGACGGUACCUAAGUAGGAAGCCCCGGCUAACUACGUGGCAGCAGCCGCGGUUAUACGUAGGGGGCCAGUGUUGGCCGGAAUUAUUGGGGGUAAAGGGUGCGGUGGCGGCCUUUUAAGUCAGAUGUGAACGCCCACGGCUUAACCGUGGCACUGCAUUUGAAACUGGAGGGCUUGAGUAUAGGAGAGGGUAGUGGAAUUCCCAGUGUAGCGGUGGAAUGCGUAGGUAUUGGGAGGAACACCAGUGGCGAAGGCGACUACCUGGACGAAAACUGACGCUGAGGCACGAAAGCUAGGGGAGCAAAC